GGGCCCGCACAAGCGGUGGAGCAUGUGGUUCAAUUCGACGCAACGCGAAGAACCUUACCGGGGCUCGAACGGCAAUUGCUACUCCUGGAAACAGGGGAUUCUCUUCGGAGACGGUUGUCGAGGUGCUGCAUGGCUGUCGUCAGCUCGUGUCGUGAGAUGUUGGGUUAAGUCCCGCAACGAGCGCAACCCUUGCCCUUAGUUGCGACCAGGUUAAGCUGAGCACCCUAAGGGAACUGUCGGCGAAAAGCCGGAGGAAGGUGGGGAUGACGUCAAGUCCUCAUGGCCCUUACGUCCCGGGCUACACACGUGCUACAAUGGUCGGUACAAAGGGUUGCCAACCCGCGAGGGGGAGCUAAUCCCAAAAACCCGACCCCAGUUCGGAUUGCAGUCUGCAACUCGACUGCAUGAAGGCGGAAUCGCUAGUAAUCGCAGAUCAGCGCGCUGCGGUGAAUACGUUCCCGGGCCUU
rnacentral:rRNA from 1 species